AAACUUAAAGGAAUUGACGGGACCCGCACAAGCGGUGGAUGAUGUGGUUUAAUUCGAUGCAACGCGAAAACCUUACCCACCUUUGACAUGUACGGAACCUUUAGAGAUAGAGGGUGCUCGAAAGAGAGCCGUAACACAGGUGCUGCAUGGCUGUCGUCAGCUCGUGUCGUGAGAUGUUGGGUUAAGUCCCGCAACGAGCGCAACCCUUGUCAUUAGUUGCUACAUUCAGUUGGGCACUCUAAUGAGACUGCCGGUGACAAGCCGGAGGAAGGUGGGGAUGACGUCAAGUCCUCAUGGCCCUUAUAGGUGGGGCUACACACGUCAUACAAUGGCUGGUACAAAGGGUUGCCAACCCGCGAGGGGGAGCCAAUCCCAUAAAGCCAGUCGUAGUCCGGAUCGUAGUCUGCAACUCGACUACGUGAAGUCGGAAUCGCUAGUAAUCGUGGAUCAGAAUGUCACGGUGAAUACGUUCCCGGGUCUU
rnacentral:rRNA from 1 species